rnacentral:rRNA from 1 species
CCCUUAGAUGUUCUGGGCCGCACGCGUGCUACACUGACCGGCGCAACAAGUUUCUUUCCUUGGCUCGAUAGGCCUGGGUAAUCUUUGAACGCCGGUCGUGAUGGGGAUAGAUCCUUGCAAUUUUUGAUCUUCAACGAGGAAUUCCUAGUAAAUGCGAGUCAUCAUCUCGCGUUGAUUACGUCCCUGCCCUUUGUACACACCACCCGUCGCACCUACCGAUUGAAUGGUCCGGUGAAGCCUCGGGAUUGCGAAUGCUUCGUGCGGACGCGAGAACUUGGCUAAACCUUACCAUUUAGAGGAAGGUGAAGUCGUAACA